rnacentral:rRNA from 1 species
AUUGAACGCUGGCGGCAGGCCUAACACAUGCAAGUCGAGCGAGCGGCGGACGGGUGAGUAAUGUCUGGGAAACUGCCUGAUGGAGGGGGAUAACUACUGGAAACGGUAGCUAAUACCGCAUACCAUCAGAUGUGCCCAGAUGGGAUUAGCUAGUAGGUGGGGUAAAGGCUCACCUAGGCGACGAUCCCUAGCUGGUCUGAGAGGAUGACCAGCCAGACGGGAACUGAGACACGGUCCAGACUCCUACGGGAGGCAGAAGUGGGGAAUAUUGCACAAUGGGCGCAAGCCUGAUGCAGACAUGCCGAGUGUGUGAAGAAGGCCUUCGGGUUGUAAAGCACUUUCAGCGGGGAGGCGUUACUCGCAGAAGAAGCACCGGCUAACUCCGUGCCAGCAGCCGCGGUAAUAC